rnacentral:ncRNA from 1 species
CCUUUCAUAAGUUAAUAUCACACAUACAGUUAAGGCAUUGCCACCGACUUCGUGGCAUCUAACCGCCGUUUUU